rnacentral:rRNA from 1 species
AAAAGUUAAUUAAGGGCGUAUGGUGAAUGCCUUGGCUCUCUUAGGCUAUGAAGGACGUGACAAGCUGCGAAAAGUUCCGAAAAGGUGCAAAUAACCUUUGAAACGGAAAUCUCCGAAUGGGGUAACCCGAUUAAUUGAAGAUUAAUCAUCCAUUUAUUUGGAAGCCAACCUGGUGAACUGAAACAUCUAAGUAACCAGUGGAAAAGAAAACAAUAGUGAUUCCCAAAGUAGUGGCGAACGAAAUGGGAUUAGUCCAAACCAAAAUUGUUUAGGCAAUUUUGGGGUUGUAGGACUGUAAUAUGGAAUGUAAAUUUAUAAUGGAAUACUUUUGGAAAAAAGUAACCAAAGAAGGUGAAAGUCCUGUACAUGAAAUAAAUCUACUACCUAACAGUAUCCUGAGUAGGGCGGGACACGUGAAAUCCUGUCUGAAUCCACCGGGACCAUCCGGUAAGACUAAAAACUCAAGAGAGACCGAUAGUGAACAAGUACCGUGAGGGAAAGGUGAAAAGUACCCCGAACAGGGGAGUGAAAUAGAACCUGAAACCAUACGCUUACAAGCGGUAGGAGCCUUUUAUAAGGUGACUGCGUGCCUUUUGCAUAAUGAACCUACGAGUUACUCCUCUCAAGCAAGGUUAAGAAUUUAUAAUUUGAAGCCAUAGCGAAAGCAAGUCUUAAAAGGCAAAUAAGUUUGAGGGGGUAGACGCGAAACCAAGUGAUCUACCCAUGGGCAGGUUGAAGCUUCGUUAAACCGGAGUGGAGGACCGAACCAUUACACGUUGAAAAGUGUUUGGAUGACCUGUGGGUAGGGGUGAAAGGCCAAUCAAACUUGGAGAUAGCUCGUACUCUCCGAAAUGCAUUUAGGUGCAGCCUCGAUAUUAUUGUCAUAGAGGUAGAGCUACUGAUUGGAUGCGGGGGCUUCAUCGCCUACCAAUUCCAGACAAACUCCGAAUGCUAUGACAUUUGAUCGGGAGUGAGGCAGUGGGUGCUAAGGUCCAUUGCCAAGAGGGAAACAACCCAGACUAUCAGCUAAAGUCCCAAAAUAUACGCUAAGUUGAUCUAACGUGGUGCGAUUGCAUUGACAGCUAGGAUGUUGGCUUGGAAGCAGCCAUUCAUUUAAAGAGUGCGUAACAGCUCACUAGUCGAGCGAUUGUGCGUGGAUAAUAAUCGGGCAUAAGCGUAUUACUGAAGCUAUAGAUCUAUUUUAAUAGAUGGUAGGAGAGCAUUCUAAUUUGUGUUGAAGAUAUAAUUUGAGUUAUAUUGGAACAAUUAGAAAAGAAAAUGUAGGUAUAAGUAACGAUAAAGCGGGCGAGAAACCCGCUCACCAAUAGACUAAGGUUUCCUGAUCAACGCUAAUCGGAUCAGGGUUAGUCGGAACCUAAGGCGAACCCAAACGGGAUAGUCAAUGGACAACAGGUUAAUAUUCCUGUACUAGUAUUUAUUGUGAUGGGGUGACGUAGAAGUGAAAAUCUUGCGUACUGACGGAAUAGUGCGUUGAAUGACAAAGGUAUACAUUAGAUAGGCAAAUCCGUCUUUUGUGCUGAAGUCAGAUAGUACCAUGAGUCUUCGGACAAGUGGAUAAAGAUGUAAUCAUGCUACCAAGAAAAACCUCUAAACUUCAGAUAAUUACUAUCCGUACCUCAAACCGACACAGGUAGUCAAGUAGAGAAUACUAAGGUGCUCGAGUGAUUCAUGGCUAAGGAACUAGGCAAAUUAGUCUCGUAACUUCGGGAGAAGAGACGCUUACUUUCUUCGGAAAGAAGCCGCAGUGAAAUGGCCCAGGCGACUGUUUAUCAAAAACACAGGACUCUGCUAAAUCGAAAGAUGAUGUAUAGGGUCUGACACCUGCCCGGUGCCGGAAGGUUAAAUGGAGGGGUUAUACUUCGGUAGAAGCUUUGAAAUGAAGCCCUGGUAAACGGCGGCCGUAACUAUAACGGUCCUAAGGUAGCGAAAUUCCUUGUCGGGUAAGUUCCGACCUGCACGAAUGGUGUAACGAUCUGGGCACUGUCUCAGCCAUGAGCUGGGUGAAAUUGUAGUAUCGGUGAAGAUGCCGAUUACCCGCAACGGGACGGAAAGACCCCGUGAACCUUCACUACAGCUUAACAUUGACUUCGAGUAAAUAAUGUGUAGAAUAGGUGGGAGACUUUGAAGCUGCUUCGCUAGGAGUGGUGGA